UACGUAGGGGGCUAGCGUUGUCCGGAAUCAUUGGGCGUAAAGCGCGUGUAGGCGGUCCGGUAAGUCCGCUGUGAAAGUCGGGGGCUCAACCCUCGGAUGCCGGUGGAUACUGUCGGGCUUGAGUACGGAAGAGGCGAGUGGAAUUCCUGGUGUAGCGGUGAAAUGCGCAGAUAUCAGGAGGAACACCAAUAGCGAAGGCAGCUCGCUGGGACGGUACUGACGCUGAGGCGCGAAAGCGUGGGGAGCAAACAGG
rnacentral:rRNA from 1 species